AAACAAAAACAAAACAUUGAAAAAGUAAAUAAAUAACAUAUUUUCCUUUGGAGAUUGUGCAGCAACGAUAUGCAUAAUGAAUAACGCGCGAAGUCGAGACCUCAUAAAUAUAUCUGAACAGGGUUGCGAAAACAGGGUAGAAAUUAGUGCUACCAAAACCGAAAGCGGUCUGUUAAUGCAAAAGACAAGUGAUGAGCAACUUCCCUGCUUUGAUUGUGUUAAUGUACAAGGAUCGGCAAUCUUUAAUGUUCUGGGCAUGGAAUAGAACACGUGUUCAAAGUGUCGAAAAAUGCAGAGCUUGGUUUUUUAAAGCGAUGCAAAAAAUACUUCAUUGCAGUCGGUACCAGCACCAUUUACGCCGCCUUUACUGGACCAUUAUAUUAUAACACUCACGUGUGGGAGGGUGCCUUCAAACUUUGCUUAAAAGCCCCCGAGUGCCUACAGCAAAAGGCUCAAAAUGACGAAAGUAUGCACAGAACACCCGAUGCUUCAGACCAUCGGCUUAACGUGGUUUGCGUGAUGCUUAUGUAGAGCUACGUUUAGGGCAAAUGUUCUAUGGAAAUAAAAGAGAGAUGCUCGCCAAUUAAAUCUCACAACAGGAUUACACGCCUUUCUCAGCGUUUUUAUCCACUCGUCCUGCAGUUGUCUGCAUACCACACGAUACACUAUCGCUACCACGUUUUUAACCGUACUACCCGCCUUCAGAACAACUUAUCAGCUGUGGUCUUUCCAACGUUCGAUAGUUCGAAUCAAUCUAGUUGAAUUAUUACCUUUCUUUACUCCAAAGUCACCUGAGUUGGUAAUAGAAAAAAAAAAGUCAAAUUCCAAAAUAGAAAACACCAAACAUCAUAUUCAUAAUGCUUUACCUGCCAAAGCAGAAUAUUUGCGAGAGGCAAAGUCGAUUGAGUUAAGGGAGUUGAAUUGUAUAAUUGGAGCAAGAACGCCACCAGAACGACCAUUAAAAAUGUCGUAAAUAAAAGUUCUUCUUCCUAUGAGUUGUAAAUAGAACCUAUGCUACGUUCUAAAAAUGACAAUUCAGUGAGACGGACUUAAUCGCGAAAGAAGUUGAUCGAAAAUGUAAAAGUUAAAUUUUUUUUUUUGUUGUUGAGAGGAGAUGAAACGUAAAAAUUACAGAAAAUCGUUAUACGUUGCAAUAUAUCAAAUCUAUCACUUAGCGGCUGCGAUAGCUCGUAGUUGUUACAUUAAACAUUAAUGAGGUUUUUUUUAUUUUCUAAAUACUUUUAAAAGCAAGCACAUGAUUACGAUGCGUUGGUAAUGCCUUUUCCGCUAAUUAAAAAUAAGAAAUAUUCAUAAAUAUUUAUGUUCAACUUCAAAAAGAAUUUGUUACUAAUCGUUCGUUCCGGUAAAUAAUGAUUUUUAUGAUGGUAAUAAAAAAAAAAAAAACCAAAAACAACAAUGCAGCUGUUGCUAGUGAAACAGUUCUCGUUUGAUAGCCGUAAGAACGCGAAAACAAAUGAAGUGAAGUGAAAACAAAUAAUGUAAAAUGUGAAUUUUACAAAAAAUUUCUAGUGAAUAGAAAGAGACAAAAAACGCUUUUACAUUGAAGCUGUUAGCGCUUAAACACAAUGGUGCGUUAUUCUUAUUUUAGAAACGAGAUUUCAACUUUGCCGACUUUUUACGAGGCUUAGCAGGCAUCGGCGAACCGUACGCAUGUAUACAUACAAAUAAAGGAAAAAAAAAAAAAAA